rnacentral:tRNA from 1 species
GUUUCUAUAGCUUAUUUAGAGCACACCUUUGAAGUUGGUGGGGAAAUUUUUUAUUUAGGAACA